ensembl:snRNA U6 U6 spliceosomal RNA
GUGCUUGCUUUGGCGCCACCUAUACUGAAAUUGUAAAGAUACAGAGAUUAGCAAUGUCCCUGCAUGAGGAUGACAUGCAAAUUCAUGAAGCAUUCCAUUUUUUU